rnacentral:tmRNA from 1 species
GGGGGCGACAGGUUUCGACGGGGGACACGGUGGCAGGAGGAGCGAGCCGGGGUGCCACCAGCCCGUAAAACGGUGGCAAGGCAAUAAACGCCAACAAGUCCGAACUCGCCCUGGCUGCGUAAGCGGCCAGCAUCUCGCCCGCCCUCGCCUGCGGGGCGGGACGGGGUGUCGACCCGGCAGGCUGGCCUGACCGCUUAUUCUCGGCGGCGGCAGGGACGACCAUCGAGAUAGCCGCGGAAUGAGCCCGGCUGCGGGCGCGUCCGCGGCGAAGGCAAAACGCAGCCUGCGCUCGGAGAGCCUUCUGUGGCUGGUCUUCCGGACGGUGGGUUCGAUUCCCCCCGCCUCCACCA